rnacentral:rRNA from 1 species
CACCGCGGUUAUACGAGAGGCCCAAGUUGAUGAAAAACGGCGUAAAGCGUGGUUAAGAAAAUGAUACAAAUAGGGCCGAAUAGCCUCAAAGCAGUUAUACGCACUCGAGGCCACGAAGCACAGUCACGAAAGUGGCCCUACUAAAAUUUGAUCCCACGAAAACCAUAAAA